rnacentral:pre_miRNA from 1 species
UGUGUGAUUGACAGGUCAGGAUGGAGUGUUAUGCUGUAAACUUGGUGUCAGUAUUGCACUUAUCCUGGCCUGUCAAUUAUGGC